AUGUGUUCUGGGCAGAUGCCACAAGUAGGAAGAACUAUAGUCUCUGGUGAUGUGGUAUGUUUUGAUUCUACGUACACCACUAAUCAGUACAACAUGAUCUUUGCACCAUUUACAGGGGUCAAUCAUCACUUGCAAAGUAUAUUCUUUGGUGCUUCCUUCUUAGCAAAUGAGAAGAAUGAAUCAUAUAUUUGGUUAUUUAAGACCUUCCUAAAAUCAAUGGGAGGGGUAGCACCUAGUCUUAUCAUAAUAGAUGAAGCUGCUAGCAUGAAGAUUGAUAUUGACGAAGUUCUUCCAACAACUGUGCAUAGGUUGUGCAUGUGGCAUAUAAUGGAAAAGGUGCCUGAAAAAGUUGGACCUUUGAUUAGAGAGGAUCCAGAAUUUUGGAAGAGGCUGAAUUCAUGUGUUUGGGGUUCAGAAACUACAACUGAGUUUGAGUCACAAUGGACUUCCAUCAUUACAGAUUUCGGGUUGGAAGAAAAUGAGUGGUUUGCUAAGAGGUUUAGUAUUCGAGAGACUUGGAUACCAUCCUACUUUAUGGACAUAUCUCUAGCACGCAUUCUCAGAACCACUUCAAGGUCAGAAAGUGCAAAUUCUUUUUUAACCGUUUCACCGAAGGCUCGCUUUUGUUGA
rnacentral:rRNA from 1 species